AAUGGUUUCAGCAGCAUAUCCUGUUGCCUGUUAUGUAUUUUUCUUCUUUUUUACAUUCUUUAUUUUAACACAAAGCCACGAAAACAGUAGUUUAAAUAGUAUAAAUUUGUGCCGCAGUAGUAUAGGGAAUGAGGGUUCUAGACCACUUUUUCGGCCCGCGAUCUCACCCAACUUCCGGUCAGCGGUUUCCAUAUUUUUCCCUCAAAAUCGCGGGCUCAUAUUUUUCUAGACCAUUUUCCCAUUAUUUUUUCUAUUAUUUUUUCUAUUAUUUUUGGCAUUAUUUUUUCUAUUAUUUUUCUAUUAUUUUUCAGCAUUAUUAUUUACAAGAAUUAUUAUCAUAUGCUAGGGCUCAUAUUUUUCUAGACCAUCUUCGAAGAACCCUCCAAUCUUCUGUCUUCAAAUCAACUUCCCGUCCAAUCUCAAACCUUCUAGUUAACACUUUACUCAAAAUCCAAUUGCAAUCAACUUGUCGCUUCCAGGGAUUCUGAUUGCCUGAACACCCAACGACUUCGCUUUCUCGCCCACCACCAUUCUCAAGUAUUUUUUUUCAUCUUCUGGUAACACAUCAUAGUUUUUCCUUAGAUGAUUCUCAUCAGUUACAACUAUCCGCAAUGGUACUAGUUUCUUAAACUUAGACCUCUUUAGUGGAAUCACUACUUUAUAUUCUGCUCUAGGAAUAUGUUUCUCUUCCCGUGGUUCUAAGUCUUCCCAGCAAGCGCCUUCAUAGAGUUCUACUGCUUCCUCGAGUCUACAGUAUUCACUCUAAGUUUCGACCCUUUUUGGUACCCAGCUUGGUUCCACUUUUUCUUCAAUUACCA